rnacentral:tRNA from 1 species
GUCCCUUUCGUCCAUCGUCUUUUCAUGUCGAAGACACGGGUUCGAUUCCCGUAAGGGAUA